rnacentral:lncRNA from 1 species
AAGAAUUUUAUACAUAAUAAAAAACAAUCAAUAAUUGUCAAGUAAGUUUAGGUCCUUUUGUUUAGGGUGCAUUUUUCUUUAAUGUUUGUUUAUUAGCUCUCCCUUAAUCUUGAUCCACUUUUUUUUUUAUCAAAAUCUUGAUCGACAUUUGUUUUUUUUGGCAUGGAUAACUAAUCGAUGAUCUAUAUAAUUUCUUACUUUCAAAGCAGGGUGACCGAAAAUUGCCUAAGGGUAUCUUCAAUCUCACUCUAUUUUUCACUGUAAAAUAGAGUUUAGAGUAAAAAUACUCCAAUGGUACUCUAUUUUCUAUUC